rnacentral:rRNA from 1 species
AUUGAACGCUGGCGGAAUGCUUUACACAUGCAAGUCGAACGGCAGCACGGACUUCGGUCUGGUGGCGAGUGGCGAACGGGUGAGUAAUAUAUCGGAACGUGCCCAGUCGUGGGGGAUAACGUAGCGAAAGCUACGCUAAUACCGCAUACGAUCUACGGAUGAAAGCGGGGGAUCGCAAGACCUCGCGCGAUUGGAGCGGCCGAUAUCAGGUUAGGUAGUUGGUGAGGUAAAGGCUCACCAAGCCGACGAUCUGUAGCUGGUCUGAGAGGACGACCAGCCACACGGGGACUGAGACACGGCCCAGACUCCUACGGGAGGCAGCAGUGGGGAAUUUUGGACAAUGGACGCAAGUCUGAUCCAGCCAUUCCGCGUGCAGGACGAAGGCCUUCGGGUUGUAAACUGCUUUUGUACAGAACGAAAAGGUCUCUAUUAAUACUAGGGGCUCAUGACGGUACUGUAAGAAUAAGCACCGGCUAACUACGUGCCAGCAGCCGCCGUAAUAC